GCCGGGUGUGGUGGCUCACACCUGUAAUCCUAAUACUCUGGGAGGCUGAGGUAGGUGGAUCACCUGAGGUCAGGAGUUCGAGACAGCCUGGCCAACAUGGCGAAACCCUGUCUCUA
ensembl:misc_RNA Metazoa_SRP Metazoan signal recognition particle RNA